AACAGGUGCUAUGACGAGACUCAGCAGGGAAAGAAUAUGGAUAUGCAGUGAGCCCCUGUUCACCCUGGAGGGAAACUAGUUAUUCUCUCAUCCCUCCCUCUCCUGAGACGUCAGCAUAAUCUGACCACUCUUAAAAUGGAAGGUUCAACCACGGGGAAUCCUGACUUUGCCCUGCUGACAGCACAGGCUUUUGCAAAUGACUCCCAAAUAUUCCUCAAACCCCAGUAAAGUACCUUGUUACCCUCUCAGUGCUCUGACCUGAUACUCUGCCUCUGCAGGCAGGCACAAGAAGCCUGCUGUAUCAUACAGAUUACAGCUGUCGCUGCUAGAACAGCAAAGAGGGUGAAGAGAAGGAUCUGGUAAGAGCCCAUAAGCUGUUGGACAAUUCCUGCUUCACUGCACGGACCUAACAUUUUCCAGAAAAAGGAGUGUUUCCAAACACAGAAGUAACUCAAUCAUUUCUUGAAGAAUCUCCCACAAGGGACUGCUCAGACCGCACCUACUGUACCGGGAUCAGAUUUUCCCUACAGAUACAUCCUAAACAGAAGGAAGAAAGGUAUGUGUAUGCCCCAGGAAUGGAGGGGCAGAGAGCUUUUUAUGUACCUCCAGCUUUUCU